rnacentral:rRNA from 1 species
GACGUAGGGUCCGAGCGUUGUCCGGAUUUACUGGGCGUAAAGAGCGCGUAGGCGGAUCGGUAAGUGUGAAGUGAAAUCUCCAGGGCUCAACCCGGAAACUGCUUCGCAUACUGUCGAUCUGGAGGAAUGGAGAGGUGAGUGGAAUUCCUGGUGUACCGGUGAAAUGGGUAGAUAUCAGGAGGAACACCCAUGGCGAAGGCAGCUCACUGGCCAUUAUCUGACGCUGAGG